CAUGCAGUCGAGCGGCAGCACAGAGAAACUUGUUUCUCGGGUGGCGAGCGGCGGACGGGUGAGUAAUGCCUGGGAAAUUGCCCUGAUGUGGGGGAUAACCAUCGGAAACGAUGGCUAAUACCGCAUGAUGCCUACGGGCCAAAGAGGGGGACCUUCGGGCCUCUCGCGUCAGGAUAUGCCCAGGUGGGAUUAGCUAGUUGGUGAGGUAAGGGCUCACCAAGGCGACGAUCCCUAGCUGGUCUGAGAGGAUGAUCAGCCACACUGGAACUGAGACACGGUCCAGACUCCUACGGGAGGCAGCAGUGGGGAAUAUUGCACAAUGGGCGCAAGCCUGAUGCAGCCAUGCCGCGUGUGUGAAGAAGGCCUUCGGGUUGUAAAGCACUUUCAGUAGGGAGGAAGGUGGUAGUGUUAAUAGCGCUAUCAUUUGACGUUACCUACAGAAGAAGCACCGGCUAACUCCGUGCCAGCAGCCGCGGUAAUACGGAGGGUGCGAGCGUUAAUCGGAAUUACUGGGCGUAAAGCGCAUGCAGGUGGUUUGUUAAGUCAGAUGUGAAAGCCCCGGGCUCAACCUGGGAAUUGCAUUUGAAACUGGCAAACUAGAGUACUGUAGAGGGGGGUAGAAUUUCAGGUGUAGCGGUGAAAUGCGUAGAGAUCUGAAGGAAUACCGGUGGCGAAGGCGGCCCCCUGGACAGAUACUGACACUCAGAUGCGAAAGCGUGGGGAGCAAACAGGAUUAGAUACCCUGGUAGUCCACGCCGUAAACGAUGUCUACUUGGGAGGUUGUGGCCCUUGAGCCGUGGCUUUCGGAGCUAACGCGUUUAAGUAGACCCGCCCUGGGGAGUACGGUCGCAAGAUUUAAAACUCAAAGGAUUGACGG
rnacentral:rRNA from 1 species